AUUCCAUCCUCCAUUUUCACCUGUUAUUUCUUCCAGACUCUAUGGCAUAAUCCACCUGCGCCAAGGAAGCAGCUAAGGACACCCUGUAAAAGGCAGAAGGAUGGAAACUACCUUCCUGAGCAUCAAGGAUAGUGCUCCAUUGGAUGACCUUGCAGCAAACUACAGGUGGAUGCCACAUGAGCAGAAUUACCUGAUUUCCCUUGAAUUUUUUGAUACUGGAAGCAACGACGGCCUAGGAUAUAUUGCUAUGUGAGCAUAGCAGAAGAAGAAGAAUACCUGAAGAAUGUUCUAGCAAAGCCAUAUUGAAGAAACACAUCACGAGAACAAUUCUGGAUUCGAUCAAAGGCUUAGCCAGUUCAGCAUUAAUCUGUUAUUUGAUUCUGGGAAGUCCAGGAGCAGGAUAUAAGAGAAAUAGUCCAUUCUUGCUAAUGUUCCACAGCAAAUAGAU